rnacentral:ribozyme from 12 species
AGAGAGAGAGAGAAAAGAAAAAGAAAGGAAAAAGUGAUACUGCUAACCUGAAGAGAGCAUAUCUACCAGUUGUUGUUGUUGCAGUAGGUUGUUUUUAGUUA